CAAAAAGGGGCAGCACUGGGAGUGGCCCCAUAUGUCUGGUCACUGCUCAUUCCAUUGCUCCCUGGGACUGAAAGCAACACAGAACCCUGGCCUUGUUGACAUCACAAUGCACAUCUGCUGCCUGUCUGACCACCUUCUUCCACAGGAAUCACAGACGGUCUCCACUGAGUGAGCCAGAAUGUCGGCAGCAAUGGACCAGCUACGUGCCACACAUCACAGAACUUGAAUAGCAGUUUGGGGGCCAUCAUCACAGGCCCAAAAGUACACAUGGCCAUCCUGGCACUAGCUGGUGAUGGUGCUGAUGGGCGAACCAGGACACAUAUCAAUCUGUAGACUACUUGGGAUUUUCUAUGUAGACAGUCAUGUUCUCUUCAUCUCAGGGAGAGGGGUCAACAGUCACGGCCCACAUGACCGCAUGGCUUCUCACACCGUGGACGAGCUGGUGAGGGCCCCAGAGCUGCCCCGUUUCUUCAGCCAGGAACCCUGCUGUCCUUUGGAUCGGGUGAUUUGAGACGUGAUUUCUACAGGGGACUGCAAUACGCUUGAUGGGAUAGAAACUGCCAUCUGCUUACUGACUUUGUCUACUUCCUACGCCAUCUGUCACGGAGGCUGUUGAAGACGAUUCAACAAGAAAGGAACACGCAUCAGACUGGGAGGCGACCUGCAGAGCACAGAGCACGCGGACAGGACAGGGGGCCUGGGACAGGAGGCCAGCAUGGGCCCUGCUAUUUUCCAUCUCGGAGGCCCAGGUGGACGGGAGGACCUGCAGGCAUCGGGUGCCACGUACGGAAACAUGUACAGAAAACUUAAAGUAAUUUUAGGAAAAACACAAAGGUUAUAAAAAAAGAAGUCAACCAUAAUGAAGUUAUGCAGAAGUAACCACAGUGAAAAGUUUAGUUUAAGCCCCUCGAGAUGUGUGUGUAUAGGUAUGUUAUUGAACAAAAAUGAAAUUACUGUUCUGUUACAGGCCUUCAUCAUUCACACACCUGAAGAUAGACUGAUGGGAUGAGGCACAGGUGCCCUCAUGGUCUAUAUGUGGCCUUAGGGCCUGGGACAGGAUGCAGGCUUCACCGAGGCCAAGUCCCCCACGGGCUCAGGGAAGAGUCCUGUCAACAAAUAAUGGACCCUCUAGAGGAAGAACCAAGGAGGGGCCCCUCUUGGGAUCACAGCCAUACCAGAAACACUGGCAAGUAUCUGUAUGAAUUUCUUCUGUAUUUUAAGAGAUUCUGCUCAGCUUAGUCUCAUAUGGCCCUGAGACUGUCCAAUAUGACGUGUCCUUAGCUGUGUUUUGAAAAUAUGUGAGGUGACUUUUAGAACUUACAGAUUCCCAUCCAUCAAAUGGUGAUAAAUAUAGUUAACUUGCAAUGUAAAAAGGAGAAAGAGAAAGAGCUUCAAAAACCAAGAGCAUCUGAAAACAUUCCUUUCUCUUCUGGCUACGCCCAGGUGUCUCUACUGUUGCUGCCCUCAUAUCCAUCUGUGAGCAGCAGCCUGCAUGCACUCACCUUCAACCUUCUGCGGUUCAUCCGGACGUACCAGUUGGUUAGGACAUCCACGAACUUGACCAGGCGAGGCACUACAGUAUACAGCCUGUAAGCUGAAAGCAGGCGAUCAGGCAGUUAAGAACAGGUGAGCAUCUGGGGUACGGCAAGGGCCAGACACAAGACAGGGCUGGCUGCCCUGCCACCCCAGGGCUGCCACGACUGCAGCCUGCACUCUAAGGGGACAGGAAGAAGCAAAGGGACAGCCCUGAUGGCAUGUACCAAGGAUGCACCACACGGCCGUCAGGGUGUCCAGGGGCACAUGAACCACCCUGUGUGAGCUGAGGACAAGCUCCCGCUGUCAGUGAGAGAAACAGAGCCCCCAGACCCGCAGUGGAGGCCACAGGU